rnacentral:rRNA from 1 species
GCCUGCAUGAAGUUGGAUUCGCUAGUAAUCGCGCAUCAGCCAUGGCGCGGUGAAUACGUUCCCGGGCCUUGUACACACCGCCCGUCAAGCCAUGAAAGUCGGGGGGUGCUUGAAGUACGCUUACCGCAAGGGGCGUCCUAAGGCAAAACCGAUAAUUGGGGCUAAGUCGUAACAAGGUAAC